rnacentral:lncRNA from 1 species
UUCAUUUUGUGGGAGAGGACUAGAUUGUAUAAACACAUUUACAUAUGCCAGAUACAAAUGCAGGACAUUAUUCGCCCCUUAUUAACAGUACAUUCUGCUAGUGUCAAGAAGAGGCUUACAGAAAGAUAUAAAGUAUCAUCAUCAAAUAGUAACUAAUGGUUUAGUAAACAUCAUUAUUAUUUCAUAUACAGCAUAACCUGAUAGAAAAAAAUGUAAACUUUAAAGCUACAGUUCUGUGUUCUGUAUUUCGCCUUGUUUGUUCUCCUUUCAACUUCCCUAUCAGCUUUUAACAUCAAUCAAAAAAUCCAUCCUUUUCCAGAUGAAUAAUGAUCUCCUGCUGACUGUCAUGUCUGUCUGAAGAACAAGAAAUGUGAUGAAGCUGACUGACCCUGUGGCACCUCUUUUCUCUAGAGCACAUAUCAUGGAUAUUCAGGGUGUGAAAUGUUUCUGAAUAACUCUCAUUCCUUUUGCCAUCUGAAGGAUUGCCCAUGAAGGAAUGAUGUUUUGUAGACAGUUAAAUGUUCAUCACUGCAUUGUGGAGAGAGACUACCUACUGGCACUCUUCCGAUCAGGGUGCGCUCUUCGGCAGCUGCUGGGCUUUCAGCUUGCACUGGUGUGAAAGAUUCUUGGAGACAGGGAAGUUGUAAGGCAGAAGCAGGAUCUGCCACUACUACACAGGUUGUUCAGGAAAAUUGGUAUUUCUGCACUAGGACAAAGCUUGUCUGCAGGAGAGGACUUGUUUCAAGGAUUGCACUGAAGGAACAGAAUUGUAUCAGCAGCACAUCAAAACUGUGACAAAACCCUGGCCUCUUCUCUUCUCCAGCAUCAGCAAAGCAAUAGUAGUUUUUGAGCACUUCAUGCACUUUGGCACAUUUUUAUUACUCUAAUUUCCUUUUCUUUUCUCCUAGAAAAUUUCUAGUAAACUAGAUCCCACAAAUGUAUUAUAGUGUAAAUGAGAAGGAUGAAUUCUGAACGGUUUGUAGCUUGCUUUCAACAUAGAAUCUAACGAGUCUCUCUUCUUCCUUUUUUAACGUCU